GCAGUGAUGACUUUGCUGGCAGUGAACCUUAUAAAAUGAUUUAGCCUCAUUGUCCUCUAAGAAGUUCUGAGCUC